CCUACGGGAGGCAGCAGUGAGGAAUAUUGGUCAAUGGGCGGAAGCCUGAACCAGCCAAGUAGCGUGCGGGAUGAAGGCCCUACGGGUCGUAAACCGCUUUUGCACGGGGAUAACACCCUCCACUUGUGGAGGUCUGCAGGUACCGUGCGAAUAAGGGCCGGCUAAUUCCGUGCAAGCAGCCGCGGUAAUACGGAAGGCCCGAGCGUUAUCCGGAUUCAUUGGGCUUAAAGGGAGCGUAGGCGGGCGUUCAAGUCAGCGGUAAAAUCGCGCGGCUCAACCGCGCCCAGCAGUUGAAACUGGACGCAUUGAGUGCACAACAGGCAGGCGGAAUUCGGGGUGUAG
rnacentral:rRNA from 1 species